CAGUCACUGUGGCAUCUACACGGAAUAAAAUGGAAAGACUUGUACUAUUUUGCCGUUCGACUAACUUAUGGAGCAAAAAGCAGCCCAAAUGUUAUUCAAUUUGUUCGCGGAAACACUAUGCUGGCUGUUGUUAAACAUAUGUGGCUGUCAAUUCGUCAUCCACUAUCUAGAGGACUUCAUGACUGUAGAAAAACACGAGACCGUCCCACUAAGCAUUACGAAAAC